UUUCCGAAUAUCCGUAUUUUUCCGAAGCAAAGCAAAUCGAAAAAUUAGAUAUCCGUGACAUACAAAGCAAAUCACAAAUACCUUCAAAACCCCGGAUAUCUGAUCUGUGCCCAGGCCUAAUGACGAUACCCUGGUUCGAGAUGUAUCGGUGCCGUUUCGUUUCAAUUUUCUUCUCCCCGAAACGGUUAUGGGAUUCAUUGAUUCAGUGCCAUUAAUGACAUCCUUAACUCUUUUGACCAUUCAAUGGUCCGGGUGCCUCUCCACCUAUAAAAGGUUAGCCUUCAUCCCUUGAAACUUAUCUUUCAGUAGAAUGGGAGAAGUCGCUCACGGGAAGCUGAUAGAAGGUGUGUAGGGGGAUGGAUCUGAAGGGUUUGGAGUUCACUUGGAUUACGUAAAGUUGGUGACGGAGGAGCCGAUGGGACACACGGUGGUGAUGCUACGAUCGGACGGGAAGAACUCGAUCAUUAUUGUAGGUGCUGCUAAUAUGAGAGGGUGGCUUGAGAAGAUGAUCGAUGAUGCUUGAGAUCGUGAGGAAUGCUGGUGUUGUGCCGCUUCAAAGAGAGAUCCCAGACUCCAUCAACAUUCACGUUGUUAAGGCUGUGAAGAGAGCAGUUGUUUCGGUCAUCUUGACUUGGGAGGAAUGAAUAUGUCAAUCUCUAAUGAGAUAUUCGAUUUGUAGACAAUCUCAAAACAAGAGUAGAUUUGCUCAAAUGAGCUUUAUUGAUAGAAUAUAAAGAUGAACUGAAAUAGCUUAUUAAAGCUUUAUUAACAUGCAAAAAAAUAAAGAAAGGGAGAAGCUUUAUGUUUGUCUUCAAGAAAUAAAACAAACGUUUGAUUUCAUAAAGUCUUUAAUGGAGGCUGCUUCUAUGAGCAGCAAGGUUACAAAACACAUUCUCAUAACAGUCAUAUUUAUAUGAAACUAUCUAGAACCCUAAACACUUGAACUUGUUGUCACUUCUUUGGGCUUCUGAAGAUUGCAUUGGCUUCUUCUUUUGGGCUCUAAUACUCCCCCGCAAACUUGGCAGCGGGCGAAAACAAAGCUGACAAGUUUGAAUGAUCAUGAGAAUGACUUUGGAUGGCUGGACAGGCAUGUGAGCAGCUGAAUCAAACAUGAAGAUGUAAGCAACCUCCUAAAGUAGCUGUAGGGAGAAUAAAACAAUAGACUUCAGAACCAGAUGAGAACUCUUGGUCUAUACUUGGAGAUCUAUCAUGACUCACUCAGAGGUUUCUCUUGAACUUGGAGAGUUUAGUAUAAUCUCUCAGAGGUAUUUUCAACCAUUGUUCUUCACAAAACUCUUGGUUGUCCUGCACCAUCACUUAGCAAACAAAAGACAUGUCCACAACUACUGAAAUUCUUCAACUACUGAAAUUCUUCAACUCUAACCUUCCCUUUCAGUUAUCAGCCACAUCUUUAAUAUUAUUUCCAAAGCAUCUCAACAAACUUGCACCAAUAACAUCUCAUGAAAUCCAAUACCGAUAACUCUUAUACAGCCAACAGAACCAUCAAACCAAGCAAUUUUCACAGUAGCAGCUUCUUCUCAUUCCACGAGCUAUAACUAAUCCAGAAAUCAUCUAAACUAGCCAUAUGACACGUUCUAUCUCCAAGAAAAGGGGGAAACGUUACCGUCAUUUAUAGCACCAACUCCACAAGCUUUGCAAUUUUGAAGCUGUCACUUGAUUAAAGCUUCCACCUUUUAACUCUUCUUCUUCUUCAUUGGGAUCUCAAACUUGUUCCCCUGCUUUUGUGCCAGCCGACAGGAAGGAGACAACUUGGCAAGCCUGCUUCUUCAAAUAAAACGCAAGUCUGGGUUUUGGUCAGGACAGUGUUGAUAGGAUCUGUCUUGGUCGCUGGUUCUUCUUCCUUU